rnacentral:rRNA from 1 species
GAUGAACGCUAGCUACAGGCUUAACACAUGCAAGUCGAGGGGCAGCAGGGAUUUAGCUUGCUAAAUUCGCUGGCGACCGGCGCACGGGUGCGUAACGCGUAUCCAACUUUCCCGUUACUCUCGGAUAGCCUUCCGAAAGGGAGAUUAAUACGAGAUGGUGUUCAGUUUCCGCAUGUUUGCUGAACUAAAGAUUCAUCGGUAACGGAUAGGGAUGCGUGACAUUAGAUAGUUGGCGGGGUAACGGCCCACCAUGCCCACGAUGUCUAGGGGUUCUGAGAGGAAGGUCCCCCACACUGGAACUGAGACACGGUCCAGACUCCUACGGGAGGCAGCAGUGAGGAAUAUUGGUCAAUGGUCGGAAGACUGAACCAGCCAAGUAGCGUGAAGGAUGAAGGUUCUAUGGAUUGUAAACUUCUUUUAUACGGGAAUAAAACCUCCCACGUGUGGGAGCUUGUAUGUACCGUAUGAAUAAGGACCGGCUAAUUCCGUG